rnacentral:rRNA from 1 species
ACACUCCUACGGGAGGCAGCAGUGAGGAAUAUUGGACAAUGGGUGGAAGCCUGAUCCAGCCAUCCCGCGUGCAGGAAGACGGCCCUAUGGGUUGUAAACUGCUUUUAUCUGGGGAUAAACCUACUUACGUGUAAGUAGCUGAAGGUACCAGAAGAAUAAGCACCGGCUAACUCCGUGCCAGCAGCCGCGGUAAUACGGAGGGUGCAAGCGUUAUCCGGAUUUAUUGGGUUUAAAGGGUCCGUAGGCGGACUGAUAAGUCAGUGGUGAAAUCCGACAGCUUAACUGUCGAACUGCCAUUGAUACUGUUAGUCUUGAGUAAGGUUGAAGUGGCUGGAAUAAGUAGUGUAGCGGUGAAAUGCAUAGAUAUUACUUAGAACACCAAUUGCGAAGGCAGGUCACUAAGUCUUAACUGACGCUGAUGGACGAAAGCGUGGGGAGCGAACAGGAUUAGAAACCCUGGUAGUCCCA